rnacentral:rRNA from 1 species
CCAGACUCCUACGGGAGGCAGCAGUGGGGAAUAUUGCACAAUGGGGGGAACCCUGAUGCAGCGACGCCGCGUGGGUGAAGGAGUAUUUCGGUGUGUAAAGCCCUAUCAGCAGGGAAGAACAAUGACGGUACCUGACUAAGAAGCACCGGCUAAAUACGUGCCAGCAGCCGCGGUAAUACGUAUGGUGCAAGCGUUAUCCGGAUUUACUGGGUGUAAAGGGAGCGCAGGCGGCGCGUUAAGCCUGGUGUGAAAGCCCGCGGCCCAACCCCGGGACUGCUCUUGGAACUGCGUGGCUGGAGUGCAGGAGGGGCAGGCGGAAUUCCUGGUGUAGCGGUGAAAUGCGUAGAUAUCAGGAGGAACACCGGUGGCGAAGGCGGCCUGCUGGACUGCAACUGACGUUGAGGCCCGAAAGCGUGGGGAGCAAACAGGAUUAGAUACCCGCGUA